AUGAACUGCUUUUAUUGCCGUUUAAUAGACUGGCAGCUUUUCUUUAGUGAACUUGCCCUGCUAACAGGUGUUGAUCCUUCUGGGAGAUGCAGUGAUGACUCACUGCAGCAGAUGGGGCUCCUGAACUCUACCCUGCUUGCACCAGAGAUAGGAGAGCCUCUCUGGAAGACAGACACAAGCAAUAUGUUAGAAAUUUCACAAGAGCAUCCUAAGCUACAUGGAAGAGUCCAAACAUUGCCAGGAGAUCUGACUGAGUCUUUGAAGCAGUCUAGCUUCUACAUGUAUGCAUCACUAAGAUGGGUUAGUUUUACUAGGACGGAGAACAUACACAGUUAGAAGACAAUCCAGAAGAACAGUGAAGAUUUUUCUGUGUGCACUCUUCAUUCUGUCACUGCCCAAUUUUUCUCACCACAGUGCUAGACUCAUCCUUUAUUGCACCGGUGUAUUGUAUUCUGAAGAAGAUAUUGUAUUGUUCUGUCAAUACAGCAUGUUCCUUCAAGCUCAGUGUAUCUUUUUGGUAAAUAAUAUAUAUAAAGCCUCGGCCCUUUUUCAUUUGUGCUAUUAUUGAUUUUUUAUUGAGUCCUCAGAAUUUCCAAUAGUUCUUCAUCACAAGCUCAACUUACAAGGCACAGUUUGAGAUUUAAAAAAAUGUAAAAUUGAAAUAAAUAAAUAAAUAAAUAAUCUUGAAUAACCUUC
ensembl:lncRNA